rnacentral:lncRNA from 1 species
CCAAACCCCCCCAUUAUUAAAUUAUAUUAUUUAGUUAGUUUUCAUUGUUGUUAGUCUUUUAAUUCCAUUUCCGUCCAUUUCAGUUCCUAGUGUCUAAUUUGAUUGUUUUUCAUUAUUUUUGAGUCAUUCUAAGUGUGUUUCGAGUUAUUAGAGUUUUUAGCCUAGUUUAGUGUUCUUGAGUCUUGUUUAAUAUUUUUAAAUUAAUUUAGAAUAGAUUAGCAAUCCCUCAUAAUCCCCGGCCUAGAACGAUACCCUACUUACAUCUAUACUACAAUUGUCAAAAAGAGGGUUUAAUUUGUGUGUUAACUUAUUUUACGCAUCAAAUUUUGGCGCCGUUGCCGUGGAUUAGCAACUUUGCUAAUCCCUUUAUUUUUG